rnacentral:lncRNA from 1 species
AUGUCUACAUGGAGGCUCUGCUCCCAUGAUCGUCGCUCACCAUGGUGCCCGGCUUUUCCUUAUUGGACUGGAAUGCGCAGAGGCUUCCUGCACUGUCCGGUCCAGUUUGAAUCUUCUUCUCAUAACACAGGUUCCCAUUGUCCUGAUCUGUCGCUGCAGCAGGGAGUCCUCACGAGGGGGAAUAUACUGCCUAAGUCUGACUGCCAUUUGCCGUUAUCUAGCUCCGCCGUCCACAGCCACGCAACUAUAGCCCGAGGCCUCCGACCAUCAUCAAGUGAGGAGAAAUCCCCAAAACAGCACGCGCUGCUGCUUCUGUUGUGUAUCAAAGCAGACGGAGGAGAAACCAAACAAAGUGUGCAUGGAGACCAGCAGCGAAACCUUAAAGGCCAUUGAUGCUUUGCAUUUACAGCAAGAGUGUAACACCGAAAGAGCCUUUUCAGUGCUGAUGUGUCGUUUCUCUCAAAAUAAAGCACCUCAUUUGAUAUCAGA